rnacentral:rRNA from 1 species
UACAGAGGUCCCAAGCGUUGUUCGGAUUCACUGGGCGUAAAGGGUGCGUAGGCGGUCGAGUAAGUCUGGCGUGAAAUCUCCAAGCCUAACUUGGAAACUGCGUUGGAUACUAUCCGGCUCGAGGAAUGGAGGGGAGACUGGAAUACUUGGUGUAGCAGUGAAAUGCGUAGAUAUCAAGUGGAACACCAGUGGCGAAGGCGAGUCUCUGGACAUUUCCUGACGCUGAGGCACGAAAGCCAGGGGAGCAAACGGG